rnacentral:rRNA from 1 species
AUGAGUUCCUCCGUCGUGGUCUUCGGCAAUGACGACGAGGACGCCUGCGUGGGCGAGAACUCCGUCGUGGUCUCCGGCAAGGGCAAGGGCAAGGGCAAGGACGCCGUCAAGCCCUCGUGCACGGUGCAGUAUUCCUGCGUCAAGCGGCUUCGUGAGCGGCGCCUCCUCUCCUUCCUCCUGGACCAAGGCUUCCACGGCGCCUUCAGAGAGCUGACCCGCGAGACGGCGGCGCUGUUCGACCUGGUGCGUAUGCGGCGGCUGGUGAGGCGGGGCCGGUGGGAGGAAGCCCUCAUGUACCUCAACACCUUCCUGGCGCCGCUCAAAAGUGAGCGGAGGAGCCUGCGCGCCUAGAUCUUCCACAACUUCCUCCUCAUGCACCACCGCUUCGCCAACGUCGUCGCCGGCAACAAGGACAUGUACCUGGACAAGCAGUACGCCGACGGCCGCAGUAACUCCACACAAGCCGAGCGCAGGUUCCGUUCCAUGAACUACUCCAUACUCGCCCCGGACGCCGGCCAGCUUAGGGCCGCCAUCGACUGGGACAGAGUGAGGAGCCAUGCAGAGUUUGUUGUCCGCAGGAUGGCUCUCGCUACUCCAGAGCUGAGACGCCCGAUGAUGUUGCCGUCCCGCUGCAUGAUGCCGCACGAUGUGCUCCCCAUCGGGACCGGUUUGUUCCGGAAGCGACGCGUGAAGAAACAAGGCCCCCAGCCGCGAAAAACAGACGCUAUCUUAAUGGCCAUAAAACACCAGCAGUAUUGCAGACAGUUUAGGGAAUCGAGCGUCGCGUCGAAAGAUGAAGCACUGGAACUGCUGGUGAAUUUCCUUGAUGAGACUCUACAGGCUGGCCUACCUAGAGGGUGCAAACUAACCUAUGACCUUCAACCAACUGGGAAAGAAGGUAAACUUCAGAAUUACUCUGUUCAGCAAGUCCUUAUCUAUGAUCACUUUACCACUGUCUCUCUCAAUGUGCUAUAUGGGCUCUUAACUGGCUGUUUAAUCUGUUUUGAGUCCUUUUGGGCACUGCCCUGCUCUGUAUUUACAUGA